GGCCGUCCGAGUUGUAGUCUAGAGAGGCGUCUUCCGCGUCGGACCGUGUACAAGUCCCUUGGAACAGGGCGUCAUAGAGGGUGAGAAUCCCGUCCAUGACACGGACUACCGGUGCUUUGUGAUGCGCCUUCAAAGAGUCGAGUUGUUUGGGAAUGCAGCUCAAAAUGGGUGGUAAAUUCCAUCUAAAGCUAAAUACAGGCGAGAGACCGAUAGCGAACAAGUACCGUGAGGGAAAGAUGAAAAGCACUUUGGAAAGAGAGUUAAACAGUACGUGAAAUUGUUGAAAGGGAAACGCUUGAAGUCAGUCGCGUCUGCCGAGACUCAGCCUUGCUUCUGCUUGGUGCACUUCUCGGUGGAUGGGCCAGCAUCGAUUUUGGUUGCCGGAUAAAGGCUGGAGGAAGGUGGCACCUUCGGGUGUGUUAUAGCCUCCUGUCGCAUACGGUGGCUGGGAUCGAGGACUGCAGCACGCCUUCAUGGUCGGGGUUCGCCCACGUCCCGUGCUUAGGAUGCUGGCGUAAUGGCUUUAAACGACCCGUCUUGAAACACGGACCAAGGAGUCUAACAUGCCUGCGAGUGUUUGGGUGGAAAACCCAGGCGCGUAAUGAAAGUGAAAAGUUGGGACUCCUUUAGGAGGCACUGACGCCCGAUCCUGACCUUCUGUGAUGGAUUUGAGGCAGAGCAUGUAUGUUGNGACCCGAAAGAUGGNGACUAUGCCUGAAUAGGGCGAAGCCAGAGGAAACUCUGGNGGAGGCUCGUANCGAUUCUGACGUGCAAAUCGAUCGUCAAAUUUGGGUAUAGGGGCGAAAGACUAAUCGAACCAUCUA
rnacentral:rRNA from 1 species